CGGUAGACGAUGGGGAUGCGUUCCAUUAGAUAGUAGGCGGGGUAACGGCCCACCUAGUCUUCGAUGGAUAGGGGUUCUGAGAGGAAGGUCCCCCACAUUGGAACUGAGACACGGUCCAAACUCCUACGGGAGGCAGCAGUGAGGAAUAUUGGUCAAUGGGCGAGAGCCUGAACCAGCCAAGUAGCGUGAAGGAUGACUGCCCUAUGGGUUGUAAACUUCUUUUAUAAAGGAAUAAAGUCGGGUAUGGAUACCCGUUUGCAUGUACUUUAUGAAUAAGGAUCGGCUAACUCCGUGCCAGCAGCCGCGGUAAUACGGAGGAUCCGAGCGUUAUCCGGAUUUAUUGGGUUUAAAGGGAGCGUAGAUGGAUGUUUAAGUCAGUUGUGAAAGUUUGCGGCUCAACCGUAAAAUUGCAGUUGAUACUGGAUAUCUUGAGUGCAGUUGAGGCAGGCGGAAUUCGUGGUGUAGCGGUGAAAUGCUUAGAUAUCACGAAGAACUCCGAUUGCGAAGGCAGCCUGCUAAGCUGCAACUGACAUUGAGG
rnacentral:rRNA from 1 species